AUUUAUAUAAUUUAAAAAAAAUAUUACAUUUUCAUUGUAAAUUUAAGAAAAUUCUUUAUAAAUU
rnacentral:tRNA from 1 species